GGUGUCAGCGGCAGACGGGUGAGUAACGCGUGGGAACGUGCCCUUCGGUUCGGAAUAACUCAGGGAAACUUGAGCUAAUACCGGAUACGUGCGAGAGCAGAAAGGUUUACUGCCGAAGGAUCGGCCCGCGUCUGAUUAGCUAGUUGGUGAGGUUACGGCUCACCAAGGCGACGAUCAGUAGCUGGUCUGAGAGGAUGAUCAGCCACACUGGGACUGAGACACGGCCCAGACUCCUACGGGAGGCAGCAGUGGGGAAUAUUGGACAAUGGGGGCAACCCUGAUCCAGCCAUGCCGCGUGAGUGAUGACGGCCUUAGGGUUGUAAAGCUCUUUUCUCCGGGACGAUAAUGACGGUACCGGAGGAAUAAGCCCCGGCUAACUUCGUGCCAGCAGCCGCGGUAAUACGAAGGGGGCUAGCGUUGCUCGGAAUCACUGGGCGUAAAGGGCGCGUAGGCGGCUGAUUUAGUCGAGGGUGAAAGCCCGUGGCUCAACCACGGAAUGGCCUUCGAUACUGAUUGGCUUGAGACCGGAAGAGGACAGCGGAACUGCGAGUGUAGAGGUGAAAUUCGUAGAUAUUCGCAAGAACACCAGUGGCGAAGGCGGCUGUCUGGUCCGGUUCUGACGCUGAGGCGCG
rnacentral:rRNA from 1 species